AAAAGCGUGAAAUCAAAUUAAAAUAGCAAGAAGGGGGAAAUAACCCAAGUGAACCUUAAAUUUAAUUGACUUACAAUUCUGAAAAUGCUAGUUUGCGUCUAGGGAAUUAGGCCGACAUAAAUCGAUCUAAAUUCCGUAUCAAAACACAAAUCAACCAUAUUUCCAUCCUAGUACAAAUUGAGCAAAAACAGAUUGACCAUAACAAGGAAUAGCAAAACCACAACCAAAUACUGUUAAGGAAUCAUGAGCAAGGAGAUGAGAUAUUAAAUCCAAGAUUCAAGUCAAAAUAGGUUAACAAACUACAAAAGCGUGAAAUAAAAUUAAAAUAGCAUGAAGGGGGGAAAUAACCCGAGUGAACCUUAAAUUUAAUUGACUUACAAUUCUGAAAAAGCUAGUCGACGGAACGAACAGGAGAACUAACGAGGUUUAAGCCAGAAAAUCUCGCCGAGAAUCUCAUCGAAUGCUAACCGGACUGCCUCCACUUCAAAACAAAAUCAAGCAGCUUGCCUCCAUGAAUUCCGAUUGAGGGAGAACUGAAGCUUUGUGUAGCAAGUUAUUCUGAAACUCAGAGAAUCGAACGGUAACUGAUAGGUUACGGUGGUUAAUUUUCGCCGGCUUUAGGCGAAUCUCGUCGGCGAUGGAGAUGAGACUAGAAAAACGAAUGAGAUAGAGAGAGAGAGAGAGGGAUUUGAAGAUGAAGGAGGCGGCUGUGUUUGAUUUUUAUGUCUUGUGCCUCUGUGUGUUAAUGAUGAAGCAGAAAUGGCUUCCGAUGAGAAAGGUCGUGCGCGGGCUGGUCUCCGGCAGGUUUUGUGAAGGGAGUGGUGUGAGCAAGAUGGGUUUCAAGGGAGGUCAUUUUUCUGUGCCAAAGCUACACAGCCUCUUUCCUAAAUAUAGUCUAAGAUCCGAU
rnacentral:lncRNA from 1 species